GUUCUUAUAGUUUAAUAAAAACAUUGAUUUUGUAAUUCAAAAAUAAGAAAUAAUUCUUUUAGAACU
rnacentral:tRNA from 1 species